GUGCUCGCUACGGCAGCACAUAAACUAAAAUUGAAACGAUACAGAGAAAAUUAGCAUGGCCCCUGCGCAUUGUCCUACCUUGUCAUGUGCAUCUGGUGAGUUUG